rnacentral:rRNA from 1 species
AGUCGAGGGGUAGAAGAAGCUUGCUUUUUUGAGACCGGCGCACGGGUGAGUAACGCGUAUGCAACCUACCUUAUACAGGGGAAUAGCCCGAAGAAAUUCGGAUUAAUGCUCCAUGGUUUAUCGAUAUGGCAUCGUAUUGAUAAUAAAGAUUUAUCGGUAUAAGAUGGGCAUGCGUAUCAUUAGCUAGUUGGUGUGGUAACGGCAUACCAAGGCAACGAUGAUUAGGGGUCCUGAGAGGGAGAUCCCCCACACUGGUACUGAGACACGGACCAGACUCCUACGGGAGGCAGCAGUGAGGAAUAUUGGUCAAUGGAGGCAACUCUGAACCAGCCAUGCCGCGUGCAGGAUGACGGUCCUAUGGAUUGUAAACUGCUUUUGUACAGGAAGAAACCUCCCUACGAGUAGGGACUUGACGGUACUGUAAGAAUAAGGAUCGGCUAACUCCGUGCCAGCAGCCGCGGUAAUACGGAGGAUCCGAGCGUUAUCCGGAAUUAUU